rnacentral:miRNA from 3 species
UGAUUGUCCAUUCGCAUUUCUUG